UAGAUUUUUGUUUUAAAUUUCUUUUUAAGAUUACUUCAUGUUUCUUCACUUAACCUCAUGUAAGUAAGACUGUCUAAAAAUUUGAUUCCAUGAGUGGUACUCAGACAUUGGUCUUUGAAUGAAGCUUGCAAUAAUCUCCUGGUUAACUGAAAACACAAAUUGCAGUCUCACUUCAAAACUGAAUGAUGCAUACAUAUUACAUAUAUAAAGACUCUUUCUGGGGUUACUGGUUAUUGCCCUGCUUGUUACAGUCCCUUAUUGUGUUUAUAUAAUUCACAAAUUUCUCUUAUAAAAAUGUGGACCCUAGUGCUUCACAUAUGCUAUAUGUAUGCAUUGUUCAUUGUUUCAGCAUUUAGCGUCAUGUUGAAACUGGCAACAAAAAAUUAAAGAAGCAAAUUUGUUCAAGCUAUUACCCCAUAAUAUUUUUCUUUCUCUCUUUCUUCCACUUCUAUUGAAAAUGCCAAAUAUUUAAAAAAAACUCUUUGGUGCUUAAAACAAGAAACACUGUUUUUGUGGCUGUUCUAAAGCCUGAGCUGGAUUAUGUACAUUAAAUAAAAAUAAAAUUCAUCAAGAUUUUCUAGUUUGUAUGAGACUUUAUUGAGUUUCUGAAAUUUUUUCAAUUUUAUGCUCCAGACUUGUAGCAAGAACACUAAAUUAUUUAUGUAACUACACUUGAACCACUGAGACAUGAUCUGACACCAUUUUCCCUUUUUACUUAGAAAUAUAAUAAACACAAAAAGUGAAUUAAUAAAGGAAAUUUCACAGAAGUUAAUUCAUCGCAGACAGAACCAAUUACCACAAAAUAACCAAGACUGUAUGGCAGUGUAGAACAGCUAAAAAGUAAACAGCACAUUUUUUUCUAUGGGACAGGUUGUGGUGACUAAGUGGUAAAGCACUUGGCUUUCAAACUGAGGGGUCUCGAGUUUGAAUCCGAGUGAUGACUGGGUUUUUAAUUUCAGGAUUUUAAGGGCGCUCCUGAGUCCACAAAACUGUAAUGGGUACCUGGUAAUAGUUGGGGAAAUGUAAAGGCCAUUGGUCAUUGUGCUGGCCACAUGAUACCCUCAUUAACUGUGGGCCACAGAAACAGAUGACCUAUACAUCAUCUGUCUUAUAGAUCACAAGGUCUAAAUGAGGAAAAGUGGGCAGCUAAAGAGCUUAAAGGUCAGCAACAAAAAUGUGGCUAGAAGAAGAAUGAAUUAAAGCUCUCAAUUUAUAAGGUUACAUCUUGACAAGUUGAUUUUAUAAAGAAACAAUGUUGUAAUACAGAAAUAUAAGAUCACAAUAUAGUUUCUCAAUACAUUGAGCCUCUAAUAAGAAAGAAAUGUAACAAGCAAAAUAAAAAAAUAAACAAAGCUUAUAAAAUAGCUGCACAUUUACUGGCACUUAUCUCAAUACUGUUAGUUCUAUUUCACUUUUCACAUUCUUCUUCUUCUUCUAGCCAGCUUUAUUGCUGCUGAGCUGUGAGCUCUUUUGCAGACUGUGCCAAGGAAAAAAGUGUGCUGUUUUCUUCAGUUGUUCAGCACUGCCGUACAGGGUGUUGGUUAUGUUGGGCUGUAGUGGAAGUAGGAUCUGCCUAAGGUGGAUUAGGGAGGGGCAUUCAAAGAGGAUAUGGUUUACGGUUUCAAAGGGGUGGGCGCAGUGUCUGCAAAGGGGUAGUUGUGUGGAGUUUAUUUUGUUCAGGAAGGCACCAAGACCAGCAUUGAUGGUAGCUUUGAAAGCCGAUCCAUCUGUAUUGUAAUGAAAUGAUAACGACUAGAAUACCAAUAACAUGGCUUUAUUCAACAAAAUUAGACUACAGUAAACAGUGAAUGAAACCAGCAUGUCUAGCAUACCACUGAUGCAGUCUAUAUACACACACACACUGGACAUGAAACACAACAAUGGCCAUGACCUUCAGACACGCUGGACGCACGCAGAAAAUCAACUCAGUUACACUACAUGUAUAAAUAUGGAUAGCUGUUUUUUUGAUAGCUUUCGAUUGUUUCAAGCGUGCCUUCUUUGAGCUCCAGUGGAUUUGAUUCGUUUGUUAUUUAGUAAAUGUGUUUUGAUGGUUGGUUGUUUGUAGUUUAGUCCGGGUGUAAUGUUUUAAAACCUGGUAAUUUUUUCUCUGUUAUUGGGUAGGUGGUGUUUUAGGGCUAGUUCGUCAGUAAGUUGGAUCAGAGUCCUUUGCUUUUUUUUGGUUGUUUUUCCUAUAUUUCCUCCAACCUUCUGUAUCUCUCAAUAGCUUCUAAUGCUGCUCUGUUGCGCCUUAACUUAAGAGGUUCAAUAUUGGA